GACGAACGCUGGCGGCGUGCUUAACACAUGCAAGUCGUACGGAAAGGCCUCUUUCGGGGGGUACUCGAGUGGCGAACGGGUGAGUAACACGUGAGUAACCUGCCCUUGACUUUGGGAUAACUUCAGGAAACUGGGGCUAAUACCGGACAGGAGCUCCUGCUGCAUGGUGGGGGUUGGAAAGUUUCGGCGGUUGGGGAUGGACUCGCGGCUUAUCAGCUUGUUGGUGGGGUAGUGGCUUACCAAGGCUUUGACGGGUAGCCGGCCUGAGAGGGUGACCGGCCACAUUGGGACUGAGAGACGGCCCAGACUCCUACGGGAGGCAGCAGUGGGGAAUAUUGCACAAUGGGUGGAAGCCUGAUGCAGCAACGCCGUGUGCGGGAUGACGGCCUUCGGGUUGUAAACCGCUUUCGCUCAUGACGAAGCUUUGUGUGACGGUAGUGGGUAAAGAAGCACCGGCUAACUACGUG
rnacentral:rRNA from 1 species